UUUAAGAUUCAUCGUUCACGAACGGCCCAUCACCACUUUUACGUGGCGUCGAUCGGCUGAUCGUUUGCUGAUCUGCUGAGAGAUGUUGCUAACCAGCUUUAAAAUAGUACGUUUUAUAUGUUCGAUCAAUCAAAAACGAGUAGCUAAACAUAGAUGUAGUCGAACGUUUUUGUGCAGUUUUGGGUGCCCUAAGCCCGCCAAGUUCAGCUUCUCGGUCACGUGCACCUAGGCCCCCAGUUGACGGUAUCGGUGGACUAAGCGCACUAAGUUCAGUUUCUCCAUCACAUGCACCAGAAGGUACGUUAUUAGUAGUGAUGGGUCGCACAUUAAUUUUUAACAUGACUCGGGAGUAACGAGCGUCUCAGAGAGUGAUUUGUUCAUUUUGUGUUGACCGCGCACGUGCAACAUUGUAUAUUGUGCAACAGUAUGAUGAAGUUUCUCGAGUGAUCGGGUCCGAGUCCUUUCGUUCUUUUAUACCGGAAAGAGAAAUGAUAAAUUAAGGAUUAAUUAGGACAAGCUACGCAUCAAUAAAAUAAUCUAUGCCUUGCAUUAUCGCAUCCAUUUUGUUUUCAACAGGAUUUAGAGGGAACCGCGGUUAACUGUGCACUAGUGAUGGGAAGUUCGGAUCAUUUUAUUGACUCGGACCUUUGAGUCUCGUUCAGCAAAAUGAACGAAUCUUUUUUUAGAGUCAUAUCGUUCCUUUCGUUCAUUUUAGCAAAGUAUAAUUAAAAUGUUACAUGUCACUUUCCUAACAAAUCUACUACUUAUGCAAACGUUGAUCACAUUACAACCAAUACAAAACUAUAAUGCUAUAAUAAACAGAAAAGAUGAAUUACUUGUUUACCUGGGUAUUAAGUCUAUGAUUAGCUCACAUCACCUCUUAUCUUGAUAAAUUUUUGAUUUCACUGUCUUUGUCUAUCAAUAAAGAAACACUAGGGCUAGGCUAUGCACCCGUUUGUUAGGAAGGUUGUAAAUUAGCUAAUUUAUCUGUCCAAAGCUGUCACACGUCACAUUACAAAAGACCGAACGACUCGAACCCGAAGACUCGGGAGGUGAACUAAUCAAUUCUCUUUCCGGCUCUGACUGCAUGUGUUUAGCGUGCAGGGAUGUCACGUGAUGAACGAACGACUCGAACCCGAAGACUCGAGAGGUGAACUAAUCAAUUCUCUUUCCGGCUCUGAUUGCAUUUGUUAAACGUCCGGAGCAUGUUGCGCAAUGCGCAUUCGCGACUGAACGAACCACGUCCCAUGACGACUCGUUCUUCCCGAGUCACAUUUAAGAUUCGUUCAAAAUGAACGAAUCGUUCACGAACGACCCAUCACUACUGUGCACAUGUUUGGGGAACGUAAGACCACUAAAGAACGCAUAUUGAAAAACAGCCAAUAUUCCAGUUCCACCUGGCUGCCUUUAAUAUAAACGAUACACAGAAGUCUCUGGGAAAGAAAGCGCAGACAUGGGGUGCGUCUCAAUCAGCUCCCAAGGUCGUGAAUCACAAUAUCGUGUACACGGGUUCGGGCACUUGUAAGGUCUUACUUCAGCAGAACACUAAAGAUGAUAUUUUGAAGAAUGUUGGUAACAGUCAUCUAUUCACUUGCAUUGCUUUUGUGUUCAUACAAUAGAAGUGAAUGGGUGCCACUGCUGUUUGGUUACUUUAAAAUAUCUUUUUUGUUAAAAGAAUGUCAGAAAGGUUUAAUAAAAAGAGGGUGAGUACAUGACACAAUUUAAUUUUGGGGUCAACUAUCACUUAAAAUAUAGAAGUAUUGAAGCAAUUUGUGAUCUGUGAACUUAUAUGCACCGUGGCCGAUGAUGUAGCUGUGUUCGUAGACUUCUUGAGAAACAUUAAUUUUAGGCUGUUCUUGCCGCUUCCUUUUAGCUGAGGUUUUAAGACUGUCCGGACCAUACACAAACUUGGAUGAUAAAAUUGUGGAUUUAGUCCCCACUCUGUGUGCUAAACAGUAGGGGUGAAACAAUACAGCUCACCCAUAGUCCAAUACGGACCUUUGACCAUGGCCCACGGUUUUUGGUUCGGUUCGGUUCUGAUGGCUUCGGCACAUUAAAGUGUUUUUUUUGUUUUUAUGUUUGUGACAGGAACAGUAAAAACUUUUUUUUUUACUAAAAUUCACUUUAUUUUACUUGACUUAUUUUAUUAUUAUAAAGCAAAAAACUACUUCUACAAAUUACUGGCGUAAUUAAUAAAUUUAAAGAUUUACACUUGUAGCUCACAACAUUUUGGGUUUACUGUUCAUCAACACACCGGUAAAACAAGCUUCUUGAAGAAGUUUUGUGCAUCAGAGUAAUUAAAAUGACGUAAUGCAAAACUUGCGAUUGCUGUAAAGGUGCGCUCAAUGGGAAAGGCUCAUUUUUAGUAAAAGCCAAAAAUACAUUGUAUGGGUCAAAAUUAUAGUUUUUUUUUAAUGCCCAAAAUCAUUAAGUAAAUAUCAUGUUCCAUGAUGAUAUUUUGUAAAUUGCCUACCGUAAAUAUAUCAAAACUUUAUUUUUGUGAGUGGAUGACCAGUAACAUUGGCUCUUAUUACCAACUUCAAAGGCAAUUUUCUCUAUUUUAAUUCCUUUGCACCCUCAGAUUCCAGAGAUUUAAACGGUUAUACUUCCACCAGAUAGUAUCAUAUCCUAACAACCAAUUACAUCAAUAGAAAUCUUAAUUAUUCAGCUUUCAAAUUAUGUAAAAAUGUCGAUUUCGAAAAUUGACCCAUAAGACUGGUUUUGUUGUCCAGGGUCACAUAUAUUAACAAGGUGCAUCACUGUCAUUGAAAUAAUUAAGAAAAAAUGCAACGCUAAAUUGCUGCUUGGAGGGGCUUACUAAGAGGUUAAUAACUGCCUGAAAGGCCACCGAGUGGCACAACUUUCAUUAAACAGACAUUGGCAUGGGUGCCAGAAGAGACGCUCUUGUUGCAUGUGCUGAGAGCAACGCAAACUAGCUGCUUUGGUAUGCAGUGUAAAAAUUAGGGCUGCAACUAACGAUUAUUUUAAUAAUCGAUUAAUCUAUAAAUUAUUUUUUUCGAUUAAUCGAUGAAUCGGAUAAAAACAAAACCAAGAAAAGCAUUCAUUUCCAACCUUUUAUUCAAAAACAGAACUUAAAUCUUUAGAAACUGCACAAACAUGUUGCUCCUUGAACAUCCCUGAGCUGUUAUAAUAAUAAUAAAAUAAAAAUGGACUAACAGAAAAAACAUACACAUGUAUGUUUUACAUCUGCCAAAUAUAUAGACUUUUUGUAAAUAAAGUGCCACCUGAGCUGCCAGAACAAUAAAUAAUUUAUAAAAAAUAAAAAACAAUACAAAUCAGAAAAUUUAACAGGAUUUGUUUGAAUGUAAGAACUUGUUCUCUACACUAAACUGCAGACAGACACUCGCAGAUGCACACACUCGCAGACGCACACACACUUUUGCAGACGCACACACUCACAAUCUCUCACACUGACACACACACACACACACACUCUCUCAAAUUCACUUGAAGCUUAGUCAUUCAAUUAUUACCAUCAUUGUAGUAAGUGCAAGCUUCAUUUAUACACCACAUUUUAACAAAGCUUAAGAUGACCGAGUGCUAUAAAAGAACUUUAAAAUUAAAUUAAAAAGUACAACACACACAAAUAUAUUUGUCAAUAAUAACCUAUAUGGGACAAAGCACAGAAUAUACACUGCAAAAAUUGCUUUUCUAACUUAGUAGUUUUGUCCUGUUGUCAGUCCAAAUAUCAAAAAAAUCUUAAAUCAAGAUACAUUUACUAGACACAUGAAAUAGCAUAAGAAAUUAUGUCUUGUUUUCUGAAGAAAAACACCUCAAAAUUAAGUGAUUGUUUGCUUAAAACAAGCAAAAUUAUCUGCCAAUGGGGUACGAAAAAUAAUCUUAAUGAGAUAUAAUUUCAAACAGAAGUUUUAAGCAUCACUUAAUUUUCUCAUGCCAUUUUUCUUGUCUAGUAAUCUUGAAUUUUUUUGUAGAUACUUGGACUGGAAACGAGAAAUAAAUUACUAAGUAAGAAAAGCUUUUUUUGCAGUGUAGCUAUACAUGACAACAGAUUGAUAAAUGAAUGGUUCAAAAAAGGCUAGUGAAUAAAAACGUGUCUUUAUUCUUGCAAUGCAAAGUGCAAAGUAACUAUACCAGCCCUGCUUUACUUCUGUUAUUGACGUGCUAAUGCUAACUUGUCAUGCUUGUCAAGCUGGAUAACGAGUAAACAUAAGCACCAGGACAUUACGUUCUUCACUUCAAAACGGAACAAAAGAAGGAUUCUGUAAUGACUUAACUCAAGAAUCAGCAUAUUAAAGGUGUGAAGCACUGGGCUUUUUAAAUGUUUUAUACUGUUGUAUGAGGCUUGUUAACGAUUUUAUACUGUUGUAUGAAGUCUACUUAUGGCAUGUGGUUUUUACGUUCAAAAACAUCAAAAUCAAUAAGUAAUAGGCUUUCCACCUGGGUUUUGAGGCCGGCUCAACAAACGUUCGGUUUGAAUGGGUGUUCCACCAUGAAGACUUGGAAGUAAACGCCCACUGCUAUGGCUGGAUAGUAGCUUGCGUCUGAGCCUUUUGUGAAUUUGGUUGGAGACGUAAUGUUAGGUUACACAUUCGACCUAUUGAUUAAUGAAACUAUGAAGUUGUUUUUAAUUGAAUGACAACUCAAGCUACUUACGAUGUCGAAAAGAAUUUUCAGAGCGGUCUGGAGGCCGUCUGCAGGAUCUUUUACCUGAAAAGAACAGUAAUAAAAGUGGUGUUUUGUGUAAAUAUAUGAUAUUGACAUAUACUGACUUGCCAACUUUCAGAUUUCAGAAUAAACCAUUUGUUUGCUAGGAGCUCCGUACCUGAAACCACUUGUGUUCAAAGAUCUUUUCCAGACUAAUAUGUUUAUCUGGAUCCUCCUGCAGACAGUCUACAAUCAAACGGCAACAUUCUGUUCAUAUAGAUGGAAGCUUUUAUUACCUUAAAUAACUUCAGUGGGUCUGAUGAAGAUCUCACCUUCAGUCAAGCCGUCUUUGUACCAGAUCCUUUCAUUGAUCGAGGACCGCUCAUAGCAGUUUGGGAAUUUCCCGCACAACAUGGCGAAUAACAGCACCCCGAGCGAGAACACCAUUGCUGGCUUUCAAUAGUACUCACCCGUUUGAAAAAAUUCAGGGCAGGCGUAGUCUCUCAGGCCUGAUGAAAACUGAUUCAUGACACAGUCUACAUUGCCACAGCAUUUUGUAGCCACUAAAAGUGAGCCUACCAUUGAAUCUGAAUGCUGUCAUCUUAUUUAUCAAAAGUAUUUAGACAAAUGGUAAUGUGUCUGACAUACCUGUAAACGUCUUUUAGGCCAACUUUUGAAGUAGUUCGGCGCACCCAAAGUCAACCAGUUUGAAGUCUAGGGUGUCUGCUGUUAUGACGAAGUCUUCCAGCUUAAUAGCCCUGUGGAAAACCCCCCGUUUACAGCACAUGUAGGCAGCCAUGGUUGCCUGCCACGUGAUGUCCUUGGCUUACUCCUCAUCGAGUUCUCCCCCUUUACUCGCAACAAAUUCAUUCAAACCCUCGCAGGGAGAAGGGUGCUCCAAGACCAUGAUGAAGUGGUCUGGAUACUCCUGCCUGUCAACGAGCUAGACAAUCUCAGGAACGUCAUCUCCCUGACAGGCAAGCAUGUGAAGAGCCACCUGACGUGGAAGGGGUUCAGGAUAACCCGACUAGAAGACAAAUUUACAUUUAAUGUUAAAAGUGAUGAAGUCGCAUUGACAUAUUUCACUACCACCUGAUCAACAAAACAAAAAAAUGAUUUUCAGUCAAAUCGUGCAGAAAAAAUGUCAUUCAAAGCAUUCAUCAUAAGCAGACAUGUAAGAAAUAGAUUGAACACUAAAUAGUGGACAUAAGAUACAUUGAGAAGGUUUGUAAAGGACAGAGCGAGAUUUUAAACAGAUGAGCACAAACCAGAUGAAAAACUACUUGAUGGGUAGUUACUCAAAGUAUAAAAACAAACCUUCAAAUCAUCCUGCACACGGGUCCCUUCAUAGAUGGCUCCAAAACCGCCUUCCCCCAGUAUUUCACCGAUCUCAUACAUGCAGGAGUUUAUCUCUAUUAAAAGAGAUGCAGAAAUGUAGUUAACAUAAAAACUAUUAUUACAUAUGAGCGAAAGUGUGUAUGUUGGGAUUAUGGAAGUUAACUUCCCCUGAAUGAUCACACUGGGCUUCUCAUCAUCUUCCAGCUUCUCUUCAGACUGACUAACUGAAGUUUGCUGGAUUUCUUCAUCCCUGUCUGACUUAAUUGCGCCUGGAUUUUGAACAGCAACUGUUGGAGUCCAACCCAAAGUGCAUGUGGGUGUCAGAAGGGACUGGAUUCUGAAUACAUGCCUGUGAGGAUCUCCAGGUCACCGGUGAGAGUUUCCUGAUUUUCCAGGAACUCUGGAGUGACACCCUGUCCUGAAGUCUCAUCUGUAGAGAGGAACGAGAUCAUUCACAAAAUCAAAAAGAACUGCAAGCAAUACCACCAGGGCCAAGCCCACACUUUGCCAACACUUGACCAAGUUUACCCACCACACCCAGCCCACUCUUCCCCCAGUGUACCCACAACAUGAAAUGAGACAGUAGAGCAAAAGUAGCAGAAAUACAGUGUAAAGGUGGAACAGAUGUAAGAAGUGACAAUGAAAGAAUGUCAUUUGUACUUACCGUGUUUCUAUAUAUUCACAUUAAACACUAAGUUGUAAUACAUGCAUCGCACUUUAUUUCAUUACUAAAAUGACAUUACGUUU